GGCGGCCGGCCAGACGGCGGUGCCGCCAUUAUGUACCACAGCAGCACGCAAAGGCGGCACUGGACCUUCCGCAGCGAGGAGGAUCUGGCACGUUGCCGGGCCGAGGCCAACCGCAAAUUCCGCAGCAAAGCGGUGACGAAUGGCAAGGUCCAGCAGCAUGACUCUAUAUUUCUGGAGCCGCACGAGGAGCUGGCGAUAUGCAAGUACUAUGAAAAGCGUCUGCUGGACUUCUGCGCUGUCUUCAAGCCCGCCAUGCCGAGAUCCGUGGUGGGAACAGCUUGCAUGUAUUUCAAGCGUUUUUAUCUCAAUAACUCUGUGAUGGAGUAUCAUCCUCGGAUAAUAAUGCUCACCUGUGUGUUUUUAGCCUGUAAAGUAGAUGAAUUUAACGUCUCCAGUGUACAAUUUGUUAGUAACCUUCGAGAAAGCCCUGUUGGACAGGAGAAAGCCCUUGAACAAAUACUGGAAUACGAACUACUGCUUAUUCAGCAACUGAACUUCCAUCUUAUCGUCCACAAUCCAUACAGGCCGUUUGAGGGAUUUCUAAUCGAUUUGAAGACUCGCUAUCCAAUGCUGGAGAAUCCUGAAGUUUUAAGGAAAACGGCUGAUGACUUUCUCAACCGAGUGGCUCUGACAGAUGCGUAUCUGCUCUUUACUCCCUCACAGAUUGCUCUCACUGCCAUAUUAUCUAGUGGUUCAAGAGCAGGAAUUAAUAUGGAAAGUUAUUUAUCAGAAAGUCUGAUGCUGAAAGACGACAGACUGUCUUUGGCCAAGCUACUAGAUGGCAUGAAAUGCAUGAAGAACCUUAUAAAAAAAUACGAGCUGCCAAGACCUGAAGAGGUUGCUGCACUAAAACAGAAAUUAGAGAAGUGUCACACCUCGGAGCUUUCGCAUAAUACGAACCCGAGGAAGAGGAAAGGUUACGAAGAUGAUGAAUACGUCGGAAAGAAAUCUAAAAUGGAUGAGGAAGAGUGGACAGACGAUGAUCUUAUGGACUCAGUGUAGCCCUGGAGGCAGUCGGCAUCCUGCCACCACAGGCACUCUCUGCCCCAGGGUCCUUACAUUAUAUCAAGAGGAGAGAGAGAGAGAGAACUACGAGCAGAAAUAGACUGUUUAUGACCUUUUCCUCUGAGAUAUGGUUUUACGGGAUGAUCUAAAAAAAGGAACUCGGUAACACCAAGCCCUUGCAAACAGGUUUGACUUCACUAGGCUGCAUUAACAGCAUCACCUCUGUCUCCAAGCCUAGCACCCACAACACCUGGGAGCUCUGGCUGCAGACCUAAAGGCACAGGCUAGUAUUGCAGUAGGAACCCAGAGAUAAACCCAGCCUGCACAAGUUAGUGCCACUGGGAACAGGAAAAGCUGGAGAGCAACCCUGAGAGGGACUUGGGGAUGUUGGUGGAUGAGAAGCUCGACAUGAAAGCUCAGAAAGCCAGCCACAUCCUGGGCUACAUCAAAAGCAGCAUGGCCAGGAUGAGGGA